rnacentral:tRNA from 1 species
GCCGCGUUGGCGUAGUGGUAGCGCGUCUCACUCGUAUGUCGCGUAAUGUUAUAAAUGCACAAUGAGAAGGUCACUCGUUCAAUCCGGGUACGCGGCA